GAUGAACGCUGGCGGCGUGCCUAAUACAUGCAAGUCGAGCGAACAGACGAGGAGCUUGCUCCUCUGACGUUAGCGGCGGACGGGUGACUAACACGUGGAUAACCUACCUAUAAGACUGGGAUAACUUCGGGAAACCGGAGCUAAUACCGGAUAAUAUAUUGAACCGCAUGGUUCAAUAGUGAAAGACGGUUUUGCUGUCACUUAUAGAUGGAUCCGCGCCGCAUUAGCUAGUUGGUAAGGUAACGGCUUACCAAGGCAACGAUGCGUAGCCGACCUGAGAGGGUGAUCGGCCACACUGGAACUGAGACACGGUCCAGACUCCUACGGGAGGCAGCAGUAGGGAAUCUUCCGCAAUGGGCGAAAGCUUGACGGAGCAACGCCGCGUGAGUGAUGAAGGUCUUCGGAUCGUAAAACUCUGUUAUUAGGGAAGAACAAAUGUGUAAGUAACUAUGCACGUCUUGACGGUACCUAAUCAGAAAGCCACGGCUAACUACGUG
rnacentral:rRNA from 1 species